CUAGGGUGGACACCUCAGCUUUUUGAGUAUGGCAUUUGCUUCUGGAUUUAAUUCCAUUUCAGAUGUUAAUUUAAUUGAGACUUCUUUGUGUCAAACACAGACAGCUAGGAAGUGAGAAGAAAAUUACAUGGGGCAAGAAAGGAUUCCACAGGAGAAAGUGCUAAUUCAGCAGUCUGGGCAGACUCCUCAAGGACAGUGUGUGUAACAAGUGACAGUUU